UCAGGGUUUUUUGCCAAAAGUUGAAAUUCCCAUGGGAAAGGAGCUAUUUUAAAGACAUUCUUAUCCUUCCCAAAGGGAAAGUUCUCAGAAUUUGAGUCAAAGAAAGUUGAAGGUCACAUUUACCUCUUAUGUCACAAUCAUUCGUGUCUGGCCCAUAGCUACAGACUUUGUUUACUUCAAAACCCAAAGUCAGCUGUCUCAUUUUUAUUUAUGUGCCAGAACUCAUCAUUUCACUUGUAAUUGAAAGGUCUUACCUUGUUCCAUAAAAUAUUUUAAACUCUUUGUUAAAUGUUUUGAUUUUAUACUAUAAAACUGAUUUAAAAAUUAAGCCAGUCUUAACACACUCACCCUGUCUGUAGUGUAAGGAAGUGUGAGAAGGAAGUUCUUUUUUAUUGUUUGUUUGUUUGUUUGUUUGUUUGUUUGAGACAGGGUUUCUUUGUGUAGCCCUGGCUGUCCUGGAACUCACGCAGUAGACCAGGCUGGCCUUGAACUCAGAAAUCCGCCUGCCUCUGCCUCUGCCUCUGCCUCCUGAAUGCUAGGAUUAAAGGCAUAUGCCACCACCGCCUGACGAGAAGGAAUUUCUUAAUAAAUGAGUUUACAUGUCUAAAUCAAGUGUAAGUUAUAUGCGUUGUGUUGGAACCUUUUCUACGUUUAUGUAUAAAGAUUUCUUAUAUUAUUAUUUUUAAUGCCAUUGCGUUGCAAUAAUUUAGCUCCUGACUCAUUUGACAAAAAUACAUCUUUUAUGAAGAAGUACUCUUGACUUUGAUAUCUGUACACUGAAAAUCAUGUCAGAAGUACCCAAAGAUAAGUUUUUAUACAGAUAGACGCUUCGUAAGCGCUGGCUUGUUACCCACUAACUAACUGUACUGUGUUCUCAAUGAAUCAUGAAAGACAAGAGUGGGUCACUGUAGAAUUAUUUUAAACUGUCCUUUAAAAGAGAAGAAACUAUAAGCUAAUCUAGUUGCCAAGUAGGAAUUCCUUAUUUAAUUUACCUCCUAUGCAAUGAUUAAUGCUGCGAAAUGUAUGGUUAAUAAGUUACAGUAUAUUCACAGAAGAAAUAUCUUUCCAAGGUGUAAGAAGCAGCCAGUUGCAUUCUUUUGGAAAUUUACUAUACUGUUUCAAUGUGUUAAGUGCCUUGUUGUAAAGUAAAAUUUUAAGUCUCGAGUUCAUUAUUUUCCUGACCUAUAUUUUUCAUUAUGAUUAUCUACUGUGUGCUGUUGUAAUCAUUUUAUUAAAUGCUUACAUUUUAA
rnacentral:lncRNA from 1 species